UACAGAGGUCCCAAGCGUUGUUCGGAUUCACUGGGCGUAAAGGGUGCGUAGGUGGUCGGGUAAGUCUGAUGUGAAAUCUCUGGGCUCAACCCAGAAAUGGCAUUGGAUACUAUUCGGCUAGAGGAGUGGAGGGGGGACUGGAAUACUCGGUGUAGCAGUGAAAUGCGUAGAUAUCAAGUGGAACACCAGUGGCGAAGGCGGGUCUCUGGGCCGAUACUGACGCUGAGGAGCGAAAGCGUGGGGAGCGAACAGG
rnacentral:rRNA from 1 species